rnacentral:lncRNA from 1 species
UGGCCAUCUGUCGAUACACCCGGGGGAGGCUGGUAGGCUAUCACCAUGUAUACCCCCCUUAUAUAUGCUUAAAAUAAAUAAUCCCAAUGUCCGCCACUAGACAUUAUUUUGCCCGAGAAUCAUACUGGGGCUUAGAUCAUUCAUCUGACCUUCAAAUUGGGUGCCGUUUGUUCCUACUCCUUUAUCUUGACUUUCUUCACACCUCCAUAAAGUU